rnacentral:rRNA from 1 species
GACGAACGCUGGCGGCGUGCUUAACACAUGCAAGUCGAACGGAAAGGCCCUGCUUUUGUGGGGUGCUCGAGUGGCGAACGGGUGAGUAACACGUGAGUAACCUGCCCUUGACUUUGGGAUAACUUCAGGAAACUGGGGCUAAUACCGGAUAGGAGCUCCUGCUGCAUGGUGGGGGUUGGAAAGUUUCGGCGGUUGGGGAUGGACUCGCGGCUUAUCAGCUUGUUGGUGGGGUAGUGGCUUACCAAGGCUUCGACGGGUAGCCGGCCUGAGAGGGUGACCGGCCACAUUGGGACUGAGGUACGGCCCAGACUGCUACGGGAGGCAGCAGUGGGGAAUAUUGCACAAUGGGCGGAAGCCUGAUGCAGCAACGCCGCGUGCGGGAUGACGGCCUUCGGGUUGUAAACCGCUUUCGCCUGUGACGAAGCGUGAGUGACGGUAAUGGGUAAAGAAGCACCGGCUAACUACGUG